rnacentral:rRNA from 1 species
CAGUAGCCGCGGGAAUACGAAGGGUGCAAGCAUUAAUCGGAAUUACUGGGCGUAAAGCGUGCGUAGGUGGUGGUUUAAGUCCGUUGUGAAAGCCCUGGGCUCAACCUGGGAAUUGCAGUGGAUACUGGGUCACUAGAGUGUGGUAGAGGAUAGUGGAAUUUCCGGUGUAGCAGUGAAAUGCGUAGAGAUCGGAAGGAACAUCUGUGGCGAAGGCGACUAUCUGGGCCAACACUGACACUGAGGCACGAAAGCGUGGGGAGCAAACAGGAUUAGAUACCCCAGUAGUCCCUGUCUCUUAUAC